GGGGUGGAUGGGUGGAUCUUAGGGUCCCUCAGGUGUCUGAGGAGUAAAAGGCGCAAGAGUUUAAUUAGGCGUUUUCCACUGGGAUCAGAGGUCCGCUUCAUCUGGAGCAGAGGUCCGCUUCAUCUGGAGCAGAGGUCCGCUCUGAACCCACCAUGCAACCACACCUAACAUUUGACCAUGUGUCAGACAGAAUUUCGCACUUCUUCCUCUCAGGUCUGAGCAUUUUCUCACUUGGGGACUUGAUGCAGGUAGUUCUGGUAGCCGCUGGUGUUCUUUCCAUACUGGAUCUGUUUCUGCCGCCGCUUCAGAACCGCAGCGUUGGUCUCGGUGUUGGUCGGGUCCGGGAGGCGCGGGUAGAAGCGACUGAGUGGGUGCCUGCAGGGACAAAGAAGCCAUCUUCCUAAACCGUUUUAGCAAAAGGUUCCACUUCAUGAAAAACAGAACAUUAGUGUCUGUGAGAGAAACACUGCGCUUUGAAAAACAGUCAGGUUCCUCUGUUAAACCAGUUGUUUUAAGGCUGCAGUUCUGACCUCUUGUCCAGGUCGUCCGUCCCCACGGCAACGUUGCUCGAGGACACUUUGAGGAUGCAGCGCUCCAGGAUAGACGGCCUGACGGAGGGACAGACGCCAGUGAGACUGCAGCCACAAAACGCACAUCAUUUCCCUGAGUGGAGGCAAACAGAACAAGGUCCAACCUGCGAGGCUUGUUGCUGGGGACCCGCUCUCUCCCUCGCAGGCCGCUCGUUGGAGGAGGAGACAGGAUCGGAGAGACGUUACUGACGAGAGAGCAGCAAGGAAAGCUCAGAGAGGAAACCACGGGCUGCUUCUUCAUUCACCAUUACUCUUUGCUCCAAGCGUCAUCUCCUACAGCAUCAGCUUAAGGGUGUGGGGGUACUAGGUGGGUUCUACUGGGCUUUCAACCAGGCCUACUCGGCUCUGGCCUGCAGUUGGACCCGGUCACGUGUCUGUGGGAAAGGCCUCACCUGACCAGGCUGUCGUACACCGAGCUGCAGCCGGGCAGCAGCCAGGGCUCCGGGGCAGAGCAGGCGGACGAGGCGGCAGCCAGCAGGGGGUCAGGGAGGCCGCGCAGCAGCGCAGACGACCAUCCCUUCACGCAAACGCACGACCACGGACUGAAACACAAACUGGAGACAAGGGCGCUCACGUCAGCGUCGGGACAGAGCCUGAAGGUCGAGGCCGCGGGUGAAGAGAAGCGGUCAUUCUGUUCUAAUCCGUUUUACGUUCAGGCUCUGCUGGGGUCCAGUCAUCCUGUAACUCA